CGAGAGAGCAGCUGCCCCUAUACUGCCUCAUGCCUGCUGGGAUUAGAGGACACAAGAGCUGUGAGGGAUACACAGGGCAGGAGGCCACACACACGUCUUCCACGCCCGCACACACACACGUUCUCUGAUGGACGAACGCCAGAAGAGGCGGGGUCAGUCCGAAAGAUUUCCCGCUUUUUUCUUCCCUGACGUUCACCAGACGCAGCGAAACCCUUCAACCCAAGGAAUGUGUUUCCGUUUCUUAACGUAGCCCGUCUUAGUCCAAGAGCAUAAUAAUGGAACGAUUUCCCUUACAAAUACAAUAUAUUCUCCCUAUGUAUUAUAUCACCAAUCAAUGGUCCGAGGGUUCAAGCUAAGGAAGUAGAAAGGGUUUCAAAUACUGCUUCAUUUUUGUCAGAUUAGGUCUUUACCCACUUUGUGAGUUUUAUUAACAUUACUGGAACUAAUUCUAGUCUAUGUUCAUGCUAAACGAAGUUGCUCUUAAAGGGCGAGGACUGCGUAAGCACUGAGGUGAAGACGGAGCCUGGCACACGUCUCCUCCGCCUGGGAUCGGUAUCACUCAGCAGAACAGGAGGGUGUCACUUUCUACUGUCAGCACGUGAGAAGUCAACAAAAGUGUACGAUAACACAGAGCUGGAACUCCUCAGAUACAGUCUGAGUAAACAGAGGAAGCCUGAGAGUAAUGAAAUGGCACGGAAUGAAGCAUUAGCAGGAGUCUGGAUAAGGACAAAGGGAUUGAGGUUUCCAGAGCUUCAGUUUCUCCAGCAGAUGCCUAAUUAGUGUGGCGUGCUGUCCUCAUUAACCACGGCCGGUUUCCGUAAAUACGGACGGAUGAGUUGUCCGAUGAAAGACGGUCUGAAAAACGUGGCAGAUGGCAUUGGGUUUGACCCGAGAGCUUUCCGUGUGACUCGUAUGCGUCUCGUAUACUCCUUCAAAACAGACAAGCGUCCCAAUAAAAACAGCGGACACUUUAAUCGGGACACGCGAAUGAAAUCGUGCCGAUUCGGCUCGGCGGCUUCAGUUAAUGCUCGCAUCAAACAUCAGAACGUUAUCUCGGGAGUUUGAGUGUGGAGCCGCUUUUCUCCUGGGAUUUUCCACCACAACAGUCUCUAGAGUGGUGCGAAAAAUCCUCCGAUGUUCUAGAAGUAGAAACACCUUGUUGAUGAGAGAGGGCCGACGAGAACGUCCUGACCGGAUCGAGUUCGCAGGAAGUCUCCACUGACGCAAAUAACCACUCAUUUACAACCACGGGGACAGCGCAGUACACCUCACCUCGAGGUGGAUGCUCUACAAGAGCAUAAGACCGCACCAAGUUCCACUCCUGUCAUCCAAGACGAGGAAUCUGAGGCAGAAAAAUGUUCAGAACUGAGUGCUUUGUGUGUUUACUUGUAACAUCACAAGCUGCGUCUUUUUGUUUUUUUUUGUCGUAUUAACCAUUAGAGAGGAGAAAAAAGACUGUGAAGGAACGAUUGUUUAUAGCUGUUAUGACAGGAACUGACUUUUUUUUUGGACGUUCCACAACUUUACACUUACUACAUACGGAAAAAUGUAUGACAUUCCGUUGUUUAAUAAAUGAAAAAUUGUUAUGGUA